rnacentral:rRNA from 1 species
AUCGAUCUGGAGGGUUUCUUUGAUCAGCUUGAUCUCAAUGAAGAGGAAUUCGAGGAUGUUGUGAUUGAUGAGGAUGAUCCAGUACUUCAGGAGAGUACUCGUUGGCUUGCCCUAGCUAGGGUUCAUACGGGGAAAACCUUCAGUCAAUCGGCGUUCUACAAGGACAUGCGAGCUGCGUGGAAUCCAGCGCAGAGGGUUAGGUUCCGGCCAGUCGGGCCCAAUCGCUUUGUUGUGCAGGCUUCCUGCUUGGGGGAUUGGGAG